ACUUGCCUACAACAUAGAGUUAAUGCACCAAAUCCCAUUAGAACUCCAUAGUUAAGCACACUCAUACUAGAGUAGUACUAGGAUGGGUGAUCCCCUGGGAAGUCCUAGUAUUUUACAUGCC
rnacentral:rRNA from 1 species